rnacentral:lncRNA from 7 species
GAGUGGGUGCUCUGCUGAACUUUAUCCCUCUGUGCUGGGUGAUGCUUGCCCCACAGCCCACCCUGAGGCUGUCUGGGCUCCUGUAGUACUUGGAGUGAUGGUUUUGCUGCUGUUUGUUGUGCCUGUUUCUGCCUGUUUCUCCAGGGCUCAGCUCUUGGUUUUCCAGCUGGGAGAAGCAGACGUGCUCCUGGCCAGGCUCCUCCUACAGCUCCAGGUGUACGGCUGCAGCGUUCCUGCCCAGAUGGUGCCCUGCUUGCAGGGACUGUCUCACGGAGAGAUGCAGACUAAGGCUCUAUUCUGGGUGAUGACUGCAGAGCCCACAGAGCUUUUGGCAGCAGGGAGGGGUUUAAUCUGCCUGUCCUUCUCCAGGUGCUGUGCCAGGCGGGGUGCCCAGGAGGCCUCCAGCCCACGUGCAGUGCGUAGCAGCAGUCGGUGCCAGCAGAGCCAAUUUCCACUGCUUGUCAGCUGCGUUACCUGGGAAGAGAAAAGCUGUUCCUCUUCAAGUGACUGGAGAAAGGCAAAAGAUGACCUCCUGUUCUUGAUCUGGAAAAGCAGGUGUUUGUAACACCUUAUGCUGACUCCAUCGCCAGGGGCUGGAAUGCCCCAUGUGCCACCUGCACUGCUUCACGUCCUAAAAAAAAAAGCAAAAUGAAAAGCCUAUGCAUAAAUCAGUCGAGAUGCUCUGUCACAGCAAAGGAAGAAUGUGCAGUUAAGGACAGUGACAGGAAAAGCACUGAGGGGCGGUGCAGGGGAAGCAGGCUGUGCUAUGGGGUGCUGGAGCCUUUUCAGUCUGUGCCCAGAGCAGUGAGACAGCACAGCAGGAGGGAAUGCGGGAGCAUCACUCACAUGGCUGCAGCAGCUGCUGCUCACCUCUGGCUGUGGUUCAGGAAAGCUUUGGCUGGCACACGCUUACCCACACAGCAGCACUGAGGCCAUACACACUCUGCUCAUAGUGUCAGGAGUUUAAGACUAAAAACCACAAAUACUGGAAGUUGAGGCAACUUUUAUUGAGACCAUACAAGCAGGGCACUGGGGGGAAAAAAACAGCAGUGGCUUGAUGCUGGGACCAGCUCUGAGGAGUGGAGUAAGAAAUUAAAAAGGCACUAAUCUUAAGAAAAGACACUCCGUAUAUUCUAAGAAUAUAAUUCAUUUAAUACUGUUAAUUUUGUAGCACAAAAAAAUAAAACAAGCCGUGAUCCCCAAAAUAAACUUUAAAAGCUUACACUUUAAUAUUAUUGCCUGAAGAUCAUGGUCUUUAAAUUACAUAUUGUGUUUUAAAGUUUACACAGUGAAGACUGUCUCAAAUACAAGGCCACCUUUCCCACUGCGGUAAUUGUAUCCUUGUCCCAAAAACGCAUUUUCACGUAACACGACAGCAGAGGACAGCUGGAGGAUGCCUUCCCUGGUCCCCAAAGGCAGUCUUUUAGGCAGGUCUCGCUUUCAGAUGCAGAUAUUGAGAAAGAUGCUCAAAAACUGGACUAGAAAACAAAGGCAGCCCACUCGUUCCCAGGAUGUCAAUAUAAUAUAAAAAAAUUACUUUACAGGCACAUGAAAUGGCACAAAGAAUGCUGUUUUUCCCUUUACAAAAAUAACGCUCGGGCUCUCCGGAGCCCCAACCCAAACAGGAUAUUCCCUUUUGCUCAUGCUUUCCAAUUUGUAAACAAUCAGGAUUUAAAUUAGCGCUUAUCCAGUGAUGGACACGGAUUGAAACAGUUUGCAUUGAAACUUUCCGACUGCUCGGCGGCUUCGGUGUCUGCACACACACGUACACAAGGGGAGGCAGCGAGCAGCGAGCCUUCAUGAUGGACAGCUAUCGUGGCACCACGUAUUAACGGCUGCCGGUUCAACAGCACCGACCGUGGGGUGGUGGCGCACAGAUGGAAGCACGGCUCGCACACUGCACUCCGUGGGACGGACACCUCGCAGCCCCAGGGAGUGUUUAUUUACACCGAUAGGUUAUUUACACCGAUGGGUUAUUGCCCAAAUGGGAGAGGCUUCGGAAAGCACCGGACGGCGCACGCGGCAGCGAGCGACUGAGAAGCCAGACGGUCCUUCCAACAGAAACACACACGGAUCAGAUGCAGUCUUUGUAGGAAAAUAUUUGUCUUACAGCAAAACG